AGCGAACGCUGGCGGCAGGCCUAACACAUGCAAGUCGAACGAACCUUUCGGGGUUAGUGGCGGACGGGUGAGUAACACGUGGGAACGUGCCUUUAGGUUCGGAAUAACUCAGGGAAACUUGUGCUAAUACCGAAUGUGCCCUUCGGGGGAAAGAUUUAUCGCCUUUAGAGCGGCCCGCGUCUGAUUAGCUAGUUGGUUGAGGUAAUGGCUCACCAAGGCGACGAUCAGUAGCUGGUCUGAGAGGAUGAUCAGCCACAUUGGGACUGAGACACGGCCCAAACUCCUACGGGAGGCAGCAGUGGGGAAUCUUGCGCAAGGGGCGAAAGCCUGACGCAGCCAUGCCGCGUGAAUGAUGAAGGUCUUAGGAUUGUAAAAUUCUUUCACCGGAGACGAUAAUGACGGUACCCGGAGAAGAAGCCCCGGCUAACUUCGUG
rnacentral:rRNA from 1 species